GCUCUGGUGGCGUAGUGGUUAGAGUGUCUGCCUUGGAUGCGGAAGGUCGCGGGUUCAAAUCCCGACCAAGUCA